rnacentral:rRNA from 1 species
AUUGAACGCUGGCGGCAGGCCUAACACAUGCAAGUCGAACGGUAACAGGAAGCAGCUUGCUGCUUUGCUGACGAGUGGCGGACGGGUGAGUAAUGUCUGGGAAACUGCCUGAUGGAGGGGGAUAACUACUGGAAACGGUAGCUAAUACCGCAUAACGUCGCAAGACCAAAGAGGGGGACCUUCGGGCCUCUUGCCAUCGGAUGUGCCCAGAUGGGAUUAGCUAGUAGGUGGGGUAACGGCUCACCUAGGCGACGAUCCCUAGCUGGUCUGAGAGGAUGACCGGCCACACUGGAACUGAGACACGGGCCAGACCCCUACGGGAGGCAGCAGUGGGGAAUAUUGCACAAGGGGCGAAAGCCUGAUCCAGCCAGGCCGGGUGUUUGAAGAAGGCCUUCGGGUUGUAAAGACCUUUAGGCGGGAGGAAGGGAGUAAAGUUAAUACCUUUGCUCAUUGACGUUACCCGCAGAAGAAGCACCGGCUAACUCCGUG